rnacentral:snRNA from 1 species
GGAUGUGAGGGCGAUCUGGCUGUGAUAUCUGUCACCCCACUGAUCACAGGGUUGACUUGGCUUAUCUGACCGGCGAGGUGGGUUUCCCCUUCCUCCCUCGCCGCUCCAUGUUUGUCCCUCCUGAAGCUGCACACUAGGUUAAAGACGGCAACCUCUCCCAAGAUAGACUGGUCCUGGGACAAGGGUAAGCUGUGCUGGAUAAGCUGUGCUCUUCUGCUAGAAGCUCCAAGCAAGAAGAGAGGCUUCCAGUGGAGGGGAGGGGACACAGAACUCUGGUGCUGAGGAAUUGUACCCCUUGCU